CAAAGAGAUGGGGAGGCUCUGACAAUCAAAUCAAACCCACAUCUUCAGAUACUGAGACGGAGGUUCCACUCCCUGCCUGCUGGAAAAGGCUCCUUUGAUGUUCACUGUGGUUGGGCUGUGCCGAUUCAAUAUCCGGGAAUGAGAAGUAGAGGAGAGGUGCUUGCUUAAUUAUUUCCUUUAGUACCAUAACUCACUGCCGAGACAGGAGAGCAGAAGCUCCAGUCAAACAUCGCCUGUGAAAGAAUGAAAACAUGGUGCAGCUGUCAUCCUGAUACACCCAGGACAUCUCCCUACAGAUUAAGCCCAAGCCUGGACCAGAGAGGUCCAAAGCGCUGUGCAGCAGUGUUGGCCUUGUGUAGUGACUGUUGAUUACAUCUCUGUCAUUACCGAGGAUGGAUAUUUCCCCACGUUGGCAUCACAUGGAUCAGAGCCAAUGCCUAAAUGAACGAUGCCCUGUGCCUGCUGGAGGUGGCGUCAUUACUCACCCUGACCCCCAGCUCCACGUUCUCGCCCCCGUACACCUCCAUCCCCUCGUCAAGCAGGCCAAUCUCCUCAAAGU